UAUCUUUAUCAGAACAGCAGUGAAGUCCUUGUCAUAGUGGGGUGUCUGUUUGUCUGUGUGGGAUGGGAAAGAAGGCAGUCACGUCCAGUCAAAAUGAAGACUUUAAAUCUGAUACCUUGUAUAGAGAGAGUUCCUUUCUCUCUGCACAUUAGGAAACAUUGCAACAACUCUUUGAGGGUCCUGAUGUGGUCUGUAGCAAAGCAAAUGCUGUCCCUAUCCAACAUACCAUCAUUUUCUAGUGGCAGUCUAAAUUAACCUGACCUAUCCUUGACUGCCUCUAUUACAUGUCAUAUCUAUUGUAUUUACUGUUCA
rnacentral:lncRNA from 1 species